rnacentral:misc_RNA from 1 species
GUGUGCUGGUUUGAUGAGAUUUUAGCAAAUAGUUAUCAUAAUGAUACUAAUUUUGAAAACUUCCUAGUGUAUCAAUAUUUGAUUCUAGUAGAUUGGUAAAUUUCAAGUUGAGUGUUAGUAAUUUUUGCCAAUAAAAGUGCUCACCGAAGAUGAAAAUAAAGAAGGCGCCCCUUUUUGGAGUCUUGCGCUAGGAACAAGGCGCACAAGGUGCAUAAGGCAAGUGCCUUGCUAAUGUCACUUGCCUUUCCCUUGUAGAGGUAUUAGGGUUGGUUCCUGGUGAGCCUUGAGUUUGAGGUGUGCCUUUAAUAACUAUGC